rnacentral:rRNA from 1 species
UACGUAGGGGGCUAGCGUUGUCCGGAAUCAUUGGGCGUAAAGCGCGUGUAGGCGGUCCGGUAAGUCCGCUGUGAAAGUCGGGGGCUCAACCCUCGAAUGCUGGUGGAUACUGUCGGGCUAGAGUGCGGAAGAGGCGAGUGGAAUUCCUGGUGUAGCGGUGAAAUGCGCAGAUAUCAGGAGGAACACCAAUUGCGAAGGCAGCUCGCUGGGACGUUACUGACGCUGAGACGCGAAAGCGUGGGGAGCAAACAGG